CACUGGGAACAUCAUGGAGUCUGGUAAAAAGCAGAAAUGUUCAAUCCUGUGGGAGGUUUUAAGGUAGAUGAGUGAUAAGGAGCACAGAAGGCUCCAGCAGUCAGAUUUCCAUCUGUGACGUGUGACAGUGUUAUACAUGGAGGGUAAGGACCACAGGUGUCGCUCACUGACACUCUAAUGUGACACUGUUACACAUGGAGGGUAAGGACCACAGGUGUCGCUCACUGACACUCUAAUGUGACACUGUUAUACAUGGAGGAUAAGGACCACAGGUGUCACUCACUGACACUCUAAUGUGACACUGUUAUACAUGGAGGAUAAGGACCACAGGUGUCGCUCACUGACACUCUAAUGUGACACUGUUAUACACAGAGGAUAAGGACCAC